rnacentral:rRNA from 1 species
AGUGAACGCUGGCGGUAGGCCUAACACAUGCAAGUCGAACGGCAGCACAGUAAGAGCUUGCUCUUACGGGUGGCGAGUGGCGGACGGGUGAGGAAUACAUCGGAAUCUACUUUUUCGGGGGGGAUAACGUAGGGAAACUUACGCUCAUACCGCAUACGACCUACGGGUGAAAGCAGGGGAUCUUCGGACCUUGCGCGAUUGAAUGAGCCGAUGUCGGAUUAGCUAGUUGGCGGGGUAAAGGCCCACCAAGGCGACGAUCCGUAGCUGGUCUGAGAGGAUGAUCACCCACACUGGAACUGGGACACGGUCCAGGCUCCUACGGGAGGCAGCAGUGGGGAAUAUUGGACAAUGGGCGGAAGCCUGAUCCAGCCAUACCGCGUGUGUGAAGAAGGCCUUCGGGUUGUAAAGCCCUUUUGUUGGGAAAGAAAAGCAGCAGGUUAAUACCCCGCUGUUCUGACGGUACCCAAAGGAUAAGCACCGGCUAACUUCGUG